AGUGAACGCUGGCGGCAGGCCUAACACAUGCAAGUCGAACGGCAGCACAAGAGAGCUUGCUCUCUGGGUGGCGAGUGGCGGACGGGUGAGGAAUGCAUCGGAAUCUGCCCAUUUGUGGGGGAUAACCUCGGGAAACCGGGACUAAUACCGCAUACGACCUACGGGUGAAAGCAGGGGAUCUUCGGACCUUGCGCAGAUGGAUGAGCCGAUGCCGUAUUAGCUAGUUGGAGGGGUAAAGGCCCACCAAGGCGGCGAUCCGUAGCUGAUCUGAGAGGAUGAUCGGCCACACUGGGACGGAGACACGGCCCAGACUCCUACGGGAGGCAGCAGUGUGGAAUAUUGGACAGUGGGCGCAAGCCUGAUCCAGCCAUGCCGCGUGUGUGAAGAAGGCCUUCGGGUUGUAAAGCACUUUUGUUGGGAAAGAAAAGCAGCCGGUUAAUACCCGGUUGUCAUGACGGUACCCAAAGAAUAAGCACCGGCUAACUUCGUG
rnacentral:rRNA from 1 species